CAAAUGGAGAGUUUGAUCCUGGCUCAGGAUGAACGCUGGCGGCAUGCCUAAUACAUGCAAGUCGAACGAAGUCUCUAGGGAGCUUGCUUCCAAAGAGACUUAGUGGCGAACGGGUGAGUAACACGUAGGUAACCUGCCCAUGUGUCUGGGAUAACUGCUGGAAACGGUAGCUAAAACCGGAUAGGUAUACGGAGCGCAUGCUCUGUAUAUUAAAGCACCUCUCAAGGUGUGAACAUGGAUGGACCUGCGGCGCAUUAGCUAGUUGGUGAGGUAACGGCCCACCAAGGCGAUGAUGCGUAGCCGGCCUGAGAGGGUAAACGGCCACAUUGGGACUGAGACACGGCCCAAACUCCUACGGGAGGCAGCAGUAGGGAAUUUUCGUCAAUGGGGGGAAC
rfam:Erysipelotrichaceae bacterium 3_1_53 genomic scaffold supercont1.28, whole genome shotgun sequence.